rnacentral:rRNA from 2 species
GUGAUCCGGUGGUUCUGAAUGGAAGGGCCAUCGCUCAACGGAUAAAAGGUACUCCGGGGAUAACAGGCUGAUACCGCCCAAGAGUUCAUAUCGACGGCGGUGUUUGGCACCUCGAUGUCGGCUCAUCACAUCCUGGGGCUGAAGUAGGUCCCAAGGGUAUGGCUGUUCGCCAUUUAAAGUGGUACGCGAGCUGGGUUUAGAACGUCGUGAGACAGUUCGGUCCCUAUCUGCCGUGGGCGCUGGAGAACUGAGGGGGGCUGCUCCUAGUACGAGAGGACCGGAGUGGACGCAUCACUGGUGUUCGGGUUGUCAUGCCAAUGGCACUGCCCGGUAGCUAAAUGCGGAAGAGAUAAGUGCUGAAAGCAUCUAAGCACGAAACUUGCCCCGAGAUGAGUUCUCCCUGAGACUUAGAGUCUCCUGAAGGAACGUUGAAGACGACGACGUUGAUAGGCCGGGUGUGUAAGCGCAGCGAUGCGUUGAGCUAACCGGUACUAAUGAACCGUGAGGCUUAACCUUACA